rnacentral:rRNA from 1 species
UCCUACGGGAGGCAGCAGUGGGGAAUAUUGGGCAAUGGGCGCAAGCCUGACCCAGCAACGCCGCGUGAAGGAAGAAGGCUUUCGGGUUGUAAACUUCUUUUGGCAGGGACGAAGAAAGUGACGGUACCUGCAGAAUAAGCUCCGGCUAACUACGUGCCAGCAGCCGCGGUAAUACGUAGGGAGCGAGCGUUAUCCGGAUUUACUGGGUGUAAAGGGCGCGUAGGCGGGAAUGCAAGUCAGAUGUGAAAUCUCCGGGCUCAACCCGGAAACUGCAUUUGAAACUGUAUUUCUUGAGUGAUGGAGAGGCAAGCGGAAUUCCUAGUGUAGCGGUGAAAUGCGUAGAUAUUAGGAGGAACACCAGUGGCGAAGGCGGCUUGCUGGACAUUAACUGACGCUGAGGCGGGAAAGCGUGGGGAGCAAACAGGAUUAGAUACCCUGGUAGUCCACCCCGUAAACGAUGAAUACUAGGUGUGGGGGGACUGACCCCCUCCGUGCCGGAGUUAACACAAUAAGUAUCCAC